UCUUUUCAAAGGCUUGUGUGUGACAGCUGCUUCCAAAAGCACACUGUGCCCUACAUCUGUGAGUAUAACACUAAAGAAAUGGUGAGCAUCGCUAUGGCUAAAUAACUUAGAUAAUGUGGAUGUGUCUAGGGGAGUACUGUGUAAUUAUAAAUCAGGUAACAAUGCACGCUGCUCUGGUGUAAGUUCUGUUCAAACCUGGAAGAAACCUGGCAUCAGGCCCAGCAGCCAAUCUGUACAUUUGUGCAAGCUGAUUCCUUCGGCACAAAGUUUGAAUCUUGUCAUCUGGAAUGAGUCUGAGAAAGUGCAUUUUGAUAUGGGACUGCCCUGCACUCAGAUUUUGUCCUUCCUUCUUGCCUUCCCCUCCUCACCACCUCUCCUCCUUUUCCAGCUGUGAGCAUUUCUGUGCUCUCAAGGCCUUUUCCAGGCACUGCCGUGGACCUGCAGUUUGCUGACCACAGCAGCUGACAGAUGUGAAUUUUGGAUCAGCUGACAGGAUGGACUGCUCAGGAAGAGCAUCCUUAGCCUUUCCUCACUUGUGAGGUAGACAUCAAGGCUAAUCUGUCCUGUGUCACCCUCGUGACAAGCUGAUCAGGUCAAGUAAAGCCUGGCUAGAGUGAAGGCAAUUUCAUUAACAUUAAGCCACUUCACGCACAGUUCUUCCCCCACUUAGCCAUAUGAGGGUAGUGCUUUGUUUUCACCCCAGACCAGUGCUAGAAUAGUUGUCUAGAUGCUCUAAAACAGCAUGUGUAUGUUCAGUGCAUCUGCGAGAAACCAACCAGGGAAGUUAGGAAGAUAGGCACUACUUCCUGACCUCUUCCAACUCCUUCAUUUAAUGUUGACCUCAUUUUGAUAUGGGUUUGUCUUGCCAUUUCUCUUCGUUAUUUCACCAGAUUGGUACCUGUAUUGACUUAAAGGGAAAACAAGUAUAAAGUCAAUUGCACUUGCUGUAAUUACCUAGCUGUUAAAAGGGAAAGACAUUUAUUUAAUUUGCUUUGCAACUUGUGAGCUCAUGAGGUUCAUUAAUUUUGUAGGAAGUAAAUAAGUUCCAGUGUUUUGUUCUGGAAUUUAUCACUUUUUGUCUAUUUCCAUUUUAACUCGUAGUUCAAGCUCUGCGUCCUGCUUGACUAUGCUCUGUGACAGACCACGUCUGGGCCUUUGCAGCCUGGGGGACACUUGUGCAGAAAAAUUAGAGGUAUUUGUUGCCUCAUUGCUAUUGCAAUUGGUACCGCAUGGGUCCAGGAGCACAGGUAGCAGGGUUGCAUUUGCAAUAUCUGUCUUUUACUGAUAGAGGGGUGGGCUUCUUGGGCAUGGAUGCUAGUGGUCUUGGGAUACUUGCCUCUCACUGAGUGGCAUGAGGAGUGCUCAUGGGCGUGUCAGCCAGAUAGGCAUCUUGUAGCCAGGAAGAGAAAAGUGUAGCAUACUUGUGCGCUGUCUUCUAGCAGACAGGAAGCACAACUGGAUGAAGAAGCUUCAUUUAAAAGAAUAGGAGUUCUCCUGAGGCCAAUAUAUCAGGAGUGCUGGUGGGGAGGGGGAGAGGAGGGUGGGAUACGUUAGAUAUUGAAGAUCAUUUCCCAUUCUAUUAUUUUAAGUAGAGAUAAAAAUGCAGACUGAUUAUCUCUAUAAAUUUUUUCCCCCCCUUUUUUUUUAGUAUACUAUUUUACCACCCAAAGCAAAUGCCACACAAAGAGUUGUGGUUAGGAGGCAUACAGUUAUUUAUCUCAGUCAAAAUGUCUCAGUUAAAAAGCUAUCAGUAGGAGAUAAUAAUAAUAAAUACAUGUGGCAUUUGGCUAGAUGAAUACAAGAUUAUUCUAAACAGAACAUAUUCCUGAAAAGAAUUAUUGUAACCAAUUAGAAAUCUCCAGUUAUGCUUAGAGUUGUAAGAAUGUGAAAUCAAAUUUAAUUAUGCAAGGUCCCAUUUGUGCCAGAGGUGUUAUAAAGAAUGUCUGUACAGAAACAUUCAGUAUAAGAAGAUGAUUUGGUGCUAUUAUUAGCAUGCUCAGUUGCACAUUUUUUUUAUAGUAGUUCAGAGUUUAAUGAUGGUAUUUGUAGGGCUAAUUACUGAGAAUCUGCGCAGCAGACAUUGGGGUAGCCAUACAAAAAGCAUCUGUUUUUGCACUGGCAAGUUAUUCAUAACUCCAAAGCGAGCUUUGACUAAACUCUUUGUAUUAGGUAUAUGUACAAACAGGUUCUUGAAAGUGGAAAUACCUCUUGUUGCUUUGCAAGCCUGAUCAGUGAGCAUCGUUCCUUCACUCGUGCGUGCUAGCAGAGGACUGCUGGCAAGCCAUCAGCGCUUUCUGGGUUCAGCAGUAAUCUGGGAGAUGUUCCACAGAGCACAUCUUGGGUGAUAGGAAUGGUCUGGAGACAGGGAGCAGGGAAACGUGGACAGAAAGGAAGGCAAGCAGUCAAUAUUCAUAUAAAUAUUCCUUCAUAGCCAAUUUUCUAGGAAUGGUGAGAAGGAAAGCUAAGGCAUCAGGUGUGGUCAUAAUAGCCCAAGAUAAAAUCCUGGCGCACAGCAAGGAUAUCGUGCAUCUUGGGCCUGAGGACAAGGAGUUAGCUGGGCCACUCUGAGUGUGAACCAAGCACUUUUCCAGCAGCACUCAGUGUAUUCUGAUCCUGGAGACCAUGGUCUCCCAUGGAGAAAGCAGCUUAGGUGACACUGCUCACCAGUGUAGUUGCGGAGGAGAAGUGAUCAUGAGAAAUAAGCUGUGAUAUUAGAGGAAUGUGGGAAGAAAACUUGAUGAAAACCCGUUACGUUUGGAAUUGACACAGAAGUCAGGUAUGGCUCCUGGUUAUGGCUCUGCUGCCCAAAUGGUUUUCCCAUCCUCUCCGCAUGGAAGGAAUCUGCUCCCCCUUCUCCCCCCCACAGCAUCUCUGGAGGCGAUGCUAGCAACAUAGGUGAAUUAAGCUUUCAAAACCAUGCAAGUCUUCCCACUGAUACCAUCAGGCCCUGUGAGGCUAAGUCUUUUCUUCUCAGUUAUGAGAGCUUUCCUUUCAAAGAGUGCUAUGUGAUUCCCAGCCCCAGAGAUGGCUGUCUGCUGCCAGUAACAAUCCCCGCAGGCCACAGCAAAGCAGUUUCAUCUUUCAGCCCUCCUGACCUGGCACAGAGGGACCGUCUUUCUUCUCCUCCACCUACCUGGAACGUAAUCACAAGGCAUCCAUCUGUCUCAGUACCACUCCUCUCCCCUGCCUGGCCAGCUUCUGUGGAGGUGCAGCUAGAAUUGGGAUUGAAAAUCUCUGGGUUUGGGUCCUCUGAUCUGCUCAAACAAACCUGAGCAGUGACAGGAGCUGUGCUGCGGAGCUCAGCCUUGCCUUGUGUGUUCCCGGGCUUCGUAGUCGAGUAACUGGGGUUCAGCCAGGGGAAGGCAGAGAAGCACAACACAAGUGCUUCUCCCAGCUGAUCUUUCAACCUUGUUGGAAGAGGAGGGUCGAAUCAGCUGGAUCAAGGGGUCAUUCCUGCUACUGAGAGUGACUGACAGGAACCUGAGCUGGGAUUCACUUCUUGUAUCUCAGAAAUCUACAGCUGAGCUGGGCACUCCAGGCUUCCCUUAUUAGUUAAUGGAGAGGUUUAGGUAUUUUUAGGCAUGACUCACCUGGCCUAUUUUAGCUCUUUGUUUUAGUGCAUGAUGAACUGUACUUUAUCCAUUAACUGUAAAGAGUGUCUAAUCCAAGUAGCUCAGAUGUGGACCUGUUAAUUGAUUUAUUCAGUUGAAUUCUACCCCGUGUGCCAAGGUCUUUAAAGCAUCAGCUGACUUUCAAGGCUGAAGCGGGGACAACCAGAAAGAGAGAGGCAGUACAGAAAGCUGCUCUUUGCUUGAAUUUUUUAUUUUUUUUUUCCAGGUAGUGGCAUCUCUUCAGGUGUGAUUGUUGGUAGCCAGACACUUGAGAUGGCUAUGGUCAUUUUGUACUCUGAAGGUACUGGUCCUCCUAGUUUAGGAGCAAUGCAGUCUCCUCCACCUGUACGACCUCCAUCUAUCUGGUGAGAAAAAGAAGAGUUUCAGUUGCUUUCUCUCUGAAACAUCUGCUUUCCUGUGGACAAACCCUUCUCUCUCUUGCUCUAUCCCUGCCCUCAUUUUCCUCACAGCCCUCCAUCUUGACCCCUCACGAUGCAGCCAAAACUGACGGUUCUCUGCAGCUUCUCCAAGGCUGCUACCUUCCUUACCUUUUGCUGGAGUUAAGCAGAGAGGUUCCCCGGCACAGGGGCAAGAAGAGCUGCUGCACCUCUGUAGUGCAGCCAGUGAGACCAGCAGCAGCAGCAUACUCCGCUCGUGUCCCGUACCCCUGCCACUCCCUGCAGAAGAGGCUGCAAGAGAGGAGGCUGGGUAAGGGCUUGGCUGGUCCACAGGAACUCCCCAGGGGCGGUUCCUGUGCAGGGGCCAGCCUGGGACCAGACAAAGGCAGCGAAGCACAUCCUCGGGAGUGAAGUAUGGAAAUGAUGAAGCAUGCCUUGCAUGCCACCAUCGUAUCGUAGCUUAUCGUACCGAUAGGAACAAGGGCAUCCUCCUUUAGCUUUCUGAAGCUGACAUGGGACAAUGCCAUUUUCCCCUUGGGUGGAAUUGACAUGUGGCACAACACCGAGCCUCUGGCUGCGUGGGGAGCUGUACAAGCUCCCUGCUGACUCUGCAGGCUGCACACCACGGGCAGCCGCUGGCUCCCGUACCCUGCCUCACAAAGCGCUAGAACGAUCAGCUGGCAGCACCAUGCUGGCUCUCCCGGUGGUGGUCUCUGUAAUGACAUUCUUGGGGCCAUUGUUCCAAGAGAGCUGAGGAACUCGGCCUGUACAGGCUCAUUGAAGGCUGGGGUAAGCAUUUUGAUGAACUGCAGAGUCUUUGGAUUAAGGACAAACACUGAUAUGGACAGAAGGGAUUUGUUCUCUACAGGAGAAAUGUAGAUGUCCAAGGACCUGCAGGAUGCAGAGAAUUCAUCUUGUGCAGCUGACACUUCAUAAAUCGGGGUUCAGGGUGCAUGUCCAGCUGUUGGUGUACAGGAACGACAGUGGUGCAACUCCCAGCGGGCAUUGUCUUUCUUCCUUCUGGAUCUUUCCACAAUAGAAAGGGAAGAUGGCAGGAAAAUCUUUCCUGCCAUCACCUGAGCUUCUUCAAGCUCCCUGUGCUAGUGCAAGAUGGUCCUGUAAGAUGUCUAAUACUGAGUGCUGUGUCCAUGUCCUGGGACCAUUUCCCAGUUAUUUACUUCUUAAGAAGGAGAAGAGAACGCACACGUGGCAGGUCCUAUGUCAACUACUGCACAUCUGAAAUGUGUCAGAUGCUAGAACUUCUGCAAGAUAGCAUUAAAUAUAUAACAUACAAGUUGUUUGGCAAUACAAGUCAAUUGGCACACUCGGGGAGCUCUGUCCUACAAUUCUUUCUCCUUUCACUUCUCUUUUUGUUAAUGAAACAGCUGUUCUUUGGUUUCAGGCUUAAAUAUAUUUUUUAGAUUGCUUUUAUGCUGCUGGCCCUUGGAAAUGCAUGAAGUGCUGUGAAAGAAAGCCAUUGCUGGGAGGCAAGAGGAAGGCCUGUAGGUGAAAUCAUGUCUCGUAAUAACAGUCUGCAUCUCACGUAUUCAUCUCAUCCCUUCCUUUGUUUCUGUAAAGGGUCUCAGCUCCCUUGGGCACAUGGUUGCACGCCUUUUCUGCCUUAUUUAAGCAUUUACAGUGAUAUCAGCCAAGGUCCUUCACUAGCACAGCACCAGCUACUGGGUUGUUCCUUUGGGGGCUGUUUUCUUCACGGCUCGAGGCUGCAGAGCCCAUGUGGUCUCAGUGCACAGUCCUGCUCCCACCAUAGGAAACAUGCUGGUCUGAAGAGAAAAGGGGGUGGAGGAGCUUGAAUGUCAAGGAGAGAAGCUGGAGAACAGCACAGGAAGAAGGUGGGUAUUAGAUGGUGGAUGAAACAAUGCAUAGGGAAAGUAGGAUUUAUUUAUUGGAUGAGCAGUAAGACCACGUUUCUUUGAGCUGAUGGAUUCUAACUGGGAUGUCACGUUGUGUUUGUGCACUAGGGUUUCACAUAAAGGGGUGUGGGUGGGCAAAUAAAGUAUAAUGAUCUAAAUAGUCAAGUUAUCCCAAUGAUUGUGAAUCCAGAACCAAUUAAUUGGUGUAUGCAACUGCUCUGUAUACUAUGGUAUGACCACAUAUGUUAGGAGUACUGUGGUUUUAAAUGUGAUAUAAAUAAUUGCAUAACUUCAUUAGUUAUUUACUACCUACAAUGAAUUAGUUCAGCACUAAACUACCUUAAGCAGUACUUCCUUACGGGAUUUACACUUUGUAGGCUGAAUGCCCGGCUGUGUCUUAGCUGACAGUAAUGAACAUGCUGUGGCUAAUUGAAGUGGGAGGUGUUAUGGUUGCAGUACUCGGCUGACUCAGUGUUGACAACUUAGUCAUUUCUUUAAAAAAAACAAGUCAGACUCAGCAUGUGUUGGCUGACUAAAACAAAACAAAACAAAUAGUUUUGUGUCUUGCAUUCCAAGUUUUAGGCUCCCGAAAAAAGGUUUCUGAGCUGACAAAAUAAAAUUUUUUUCCAGACCUUUCUUCUCAUUGCUGCAGCCAUAGCCACCUUGAGGGGGAAGAGGACUUGUGUUUGCUCUGCGUCCCUGCACUAACACAGUGUUUUACUGGAAUCUCUGUCACCUCCAAAGUAUCAGUUAAAUCCUGCCUAAAGAUAAGGAGGCCUCCACGGAGCAGGGUUUGGUUUUCUUUUUAUGGUAGAAAAAUGUGGUUUCACUUCUGUGCUACAGAGGAGAUCUAGCACUAAAGUGAGUCUCUGAGCAGCAAUGGUGGCUACUGCUGCAGUCUCAUACAACCUUGGUUACGGAUGGGUAAGUUUGUACAAAGGAAAUGAGGAACAGUCUGUAACACUCAUGGUGCCCUGUGGGCUCUGUGUGGGUUCUGCCACUCAUGAAACUGAAUUUUAAGUUGGAUUUUUCAGGACGCGUGUAUGCAGUAUCACAUAUAUUGCAACUAACUGCCAUGGUUUCUCCUGUCUAGAAUAAAACUGUGACACCUGUAUGAGUAUUUGCAUGCUCGCUUAUACAGAAGACUACGCAGUCCAGAAGAGUUGGGAAACAUCAUCCUUUCUAAAAUUAUCAGUUCUAAAUCUUAGCUGCUUUUCUUGCCCCAGCGCUCAGUAUCUUAAGAAAAUGAUAGGCAUUUGCUGUCAUCCCACAAUGCAGUUGAAAACACCACAGCAUUAAAACAGUGUUGGAUGAAUGGAAUAUAAGGUCUAAUAAAAGUGAUCGAUGGGAGCAGCUUCAGA